rnacentral:lncRNA from 1 species
ACUUCUUUUGAGCUUGUGUAGGAUAACUAUAUGUUUCUUUAUAUAUAUUAAAAAAAAUAAAAAAAAAUUUAAGUACUUCAUACUGAGAACCGGACCUCUUUACCUAAGCAAAUAUUGAGUUUCACAUCAAAAGGUAUGAAGGAUAAAGAAGCAUUAUUGUAAAGCUAGUUUUAACUCGUAGCCUGUUUGAUUCGAGUAACUAGGUUCGAGGGGUAUUCAAUAUCUAAUACCCUAAAGCCACU